rnacentral:rRNA from 1 species
UGGGGAAUAUUGGACAAUGGAGGCAACUCUGAUCCAGCAAUUCUGUGUGUGUGAAGAAGGUUUUAGGACUGUAAAACACUUUUAGUAGGGAAGAAAGAAAUGACGGUACCUACAGAAGAAGCGACGGCUAAAUACGUGCCAGCAGCCGCGGUAAUACGUAUGUCGCGAGCGUUAUCCGGAAUUAUUGGGCUUAAAGGGCAUCUAGGCGGUUAAACAAGUUGAAGGUGAAAACCUGUGGCUCAACCAUAGGCUUGCCUACAAAACUGUAUAACUAGAGUACUGGAAAGGUGGGUGGAACUACACGGGUAGAGGUGAAAUUCGUAGAUAUGUGUAGGAAUGCCGAUGAUGAAGAUAACUCACUGGACAGCAACUGACGCUGAAGUGCGAAAGCUAGGGGAGCAAACAGG